UGCCUGUUGCCACACACCUCCAGCUGCCUGCCGACUGACACCCACACUGACUAACACACACUGACAGACAGCAGCACUCAUCGCCUGCACUACAGACAUAGGCUGUUGGCAGCAAACAUUCCAGCUUCCUUCAUUGUAUGCAAGAGCUCUGACAAGUCUGCCAUCAUUUCUUCUGGAUCCUCCUCUCUCCAUCCCAGUGAUGAUUAGCAUUGCUCUGAUAUGGGGGGUGGUGGUGGCCUUGUGCAGCAUCCUGUGGCUUGCUUUGGGGAUAAGACGCAGGCAGCUCGGAGAGCCUCCCGUGGAAAAUGGAUUCAUCCCCUACCUUGGCUGCGCUCUACAGUUCGGAGCCAACCCCCUCCAGUUCCUCCGUAGUCGCCAGAAGAAGCACGGUCACAUUUUCACCUGCAAGAUUGCAGGCCAAUACAUCCACUUCCUGUGUGAUCCCUUCUCCUACCAUUCAGUCAUCAGGCAGGGCAGACACCUGGACUGGAUGAAGUUCCACUUUGCAACUUCUGCAAAGGCGUUUGGCCACGACAGCUUUGACCCACGCCACGGGCACACCACGGAAAACCUCCAUCACACCUUUCUAAAGACCCUGCAGGGUGGAGCCCUGCCCUCCCUCAUAGAAACCAUGAUGGGUCACCUUCAAGAUGUCCUGCUAAAGUCUGACACCCUCAGCCACAGCAAGGACCAAUGGCAGGUGGAUGGCAUCUUUGCCUUCUGCUACAAGGUGAUGUUCGAGUCUGGUUACCUGACCCUGUUUGGUAAAGAGCUCGGUGAAGACAAGAGCCAGGCUCGUCAGUCAGCGCAGAAAGCGCUGGUGCUCAAUGCUUUGGAGAACUUUAAGGAGUUUGACAAGAUCUUUCCCGCUCUGGUGGCUGGUCUGCCCAUCCAUGUCUUUAAAAGCGCCUACAGUGCCAGAGAGAACCUCGCAAAAACCAUGUAUGCUGAAAACCUGUCAAAGAGGCAGAACAUGUCAGAUCUCAUCUCCAUGAGGAUGAUUCUGAACGACUCCCUAUCCACUUUUAACGAUGUCAGUAAAGCCAGGACCCAUGUGGCUCUGCUGUGGGCGUCUCAGGCUAACACCUUGCCCGCCACGUUCUGGAGCCUCUUCUACAUGAUAAGGAGUCCGGAUGCUAUGAAAGCAGCUCAGCAGGAAGUACAGAAAGUCCUAGAGGAGUCAGGUUUAACCACUAACCUGAGGGACUCCACCCUGAACCUGACCCGGGACCAGCUGGACAAAUUGCCUAUCAUGGACAGCAUCAUCAAAGAAGCUAUGCGGCUUUCCAGCGCCUCCCUGAACGUGCGCAUCGCUAAGGAGAACUUCUUGCUCCAGCUCGACAACCAGGAGGCCUACCACAUCAGAAAAGAUGAUGUGAUCGCCCUGUACCCACCCCUACUCCACUAUGAUCCAGAAAUCUAUGAAGAUCCAUAUGUAAGCCCCUCACCAUGCUUUCCUCUAGUUAUCAGGUUGCCAAGUUGUACAAUAAAAGUGCACAUCCACCUUGACUCUCCCUGCAUCAAGUUACACAGAAACCUCAAUGGUGGAUCAUUGUCGUUGUUUUGAGCACGUUCACAUUGAUUAACGCCAUUUCAGAACCUAAAAGGAGAAAAUUGGUGACUAUGCUGAAUUUAAUAUUUGAUGGGUGGGAUGUGAAACUAACCUCCUUUUGAUGACAACACAGAUCUCACACCGCCCUAAGCUACAUGCGUUCAAGUGGCCACUAUCAAUGAAGAGUCUGUGUAAAGGCGCGGACAUUUCGGGCUUUUGUGUUUGAAACGCUUGUGUUCAUGUGUAACUGUGCACGUUUUUUAAUUGUAAAAGACAAAGCCUGGAGCAAGAUUCAUGAGAUUUGCACCGCUUCAACAUUUCGCACCAAGCCUCUUCCAACUGUAGGUAGUGGACAUGCAUUGGUAAACGAUAAAAAUAAAGAAGAAGCCCUCCCCAAUUGUCCAGUGUGAACACCAUGGGCCGCAUGUGGGAGUACAAGUUUGACCGUUUCUUGGACAACAAGGGUCAAGAGAAGAACAUUUUCUAUCGCAACGGACGGCGGCUACGCUACUUCUACAUGCCCUUUGGCUCUGGAGUGACAAAGUGU